rnacentral:rRNA from 1 species
AACCCGACUACAUGAAGCUGGAAUCGCUAGUAAUCGCGGAUCAGAAUGCCGCGGUGAAUACGUUCCCGGGUCUUGUACACACCGCCCGUCACACCAUGGGAGUCGGAAAUGCCCGAAGCCGGUGACUCAACCUUUAAGGAGAGAGCCGUCGAAGGCAGGUCUGAUAACUGGGGUGAAGUCGUAACAAGGUAGC